AUCUCUCUCUCUCUGCUUGUCUAGGUGCUGACAGCUGCAGCCCAAUGUUGCCAGUAAAAAACCCAGCUCAGACAUCAACUUCCCCAGGGCCUGAGCUCACCUGCUCUGCAGAACCACAAGGUCUGUGUCUGAGUCAAAUGUGAAAUCAUUCCAGCCUCAGCAACAGUAGCACGAGUUCCAUCACUCAGGAGCACUCUGGACUUAUAGCAAAGAAAGUGCUGGCUGAGGUAGUCCUGCUGCCAGGGGCAAAGUUUCCUGGAGACCCAGAAGUGAACAGCAGUGCUGUGAUGUGCACAGGCUAAAGACAGCAGAGAGGUUGAGUAUGGUGGAAGAGGAGAGGUCGCUGGUGCCUCUUGGACCAGCACGUGAAGAAGGAAGAGGAGUCACGGAGGUGGUUGGUAUGGCAAAAAAAAAAAAAAAAA